UCCGCAGGCGGGCCAGUAAGUCAGGGGUGAAAGUUUGCGGCUCAACCGUAAAAUUGCCUUUGAUACUGCUGGUCUUGAGUUGCGGUGAAGUGGCCGGAAUAUGUGGUGUAGCGGUGAAAUGCAUAGAUAUCACAUAGAACGCCGAUUGCGAAGGCAGGUCACUAACCGCCGACUGACGCUGAUGGACGAAAGCGCGGGGAGCGAACAGGAUUAGAUACCCUGGUAGUCC
rnacentral:rRNA from 1 species